rnacentral:rRNA from 1 species
CCCAGACUCCUACGGGAGGCAGCAGUGGGGAAUAUUGCACAAUGGGGGGAACCCUGAUGCAGCGACGCCGCGUGAGGGAAGAAGGUUUUCGGAUUGUAAACCUCUGUCCUCUGUGACGAUAAUGACGGUAGCAGAGGAGGAAGCCACGGCUAACUACGUGCCAGCAGCCGCGGUAAUACGUAGGUGGCAAGCGUUGUCCGGAUUUACUGGGUGUAAAGGGCGUGCAGCCGGGACUGCAAGUCAGAUGUGAAAUCCGCGGGCUUAACCCGCGAACUGCAUUUGAAACUGCGGAUCUUGAGUACCGGAGAGGUUAUCGGAAUUCCUUGUGUAGCGGUGAAAUGCGUAGAUAUAAGGAAGAACACCAGUGGCGAAGGCGGAUAACUGGACGGCAACUGACGGUGAGGCGCGAAAGCGUGGGGAGCAAACAGGAUUAGAUACCCGCGUAUGA